rnacentral:rRNA from 1 species
CACGUAGGGCGCAAGCGUUGUCCGGAAUUAUUGGGCGUAAAGAGCUCGUAGGCGGUCUGUUGCGUCUGCUGUGAAAACUCGGGGCUUAACCCCGAGCCUGCAGUGGAUACGGGCAGACUAGAGGUAGGCAGGGGAGAAUGGAAUUCCCGGUGUAGCGGUGAAAUGCGCAGAUAUCGGGAGGAACACCGGUGGCGAAGGCGGCUCACUGGCCCGAUACUGACGCUGAGGCACGAAAGCGUGGGGAGCAAACAGG